rnacentral:rRNA from 1 species
AUUGAACGCUGGCGGCAUGCUUUACACAUGCAAGUCGAACGGUAACAGGCCUUCGGGUGCUGACGAGUGGCGAACGGGUGAGUAAUGCAUCGGAACGUACCCAGAGGUGGGGGAUAACGCAGCGAAAGCUGUGCUAAUACCGCAUGUGAUCUGAGGAUGAAAGCGGGGGACCGAGCAGCAAUGUUUGGCCUCGCGCCUUUGGAGCGGCCGAUGUCGGAUUAGCUAGUUGGUGGGGUAAAGGCCUACCAAGGCGACGAUCCGUAGCUGGUCUGAGAGGACGACCAGCCACACUGGGACUGAGACACGGCCCAGACUCCUACGGGAGGCAGCAGUGGGGAAUUUUGGACAAUGGGCGCAAGCCUGAUCCAGCAAUGCCACGUGCGGGAAGAAGGCCUUCGGGUUGUAAACCGCUUUUGGCAGGAACGAAACGGUGUCCGCUAAUACCGGGCGCUAAUGACGGUACCUGCAGAAUAAGCACCGGCUAACUACGUG